rnacentral:lncRNA from 13 species
GAAACAGUAUCGAGCAAAGAACCUCACUUUCUGUAGAUCCUGAACCACUAAGCACUCUCCACACUGAGGCUAGAAGUGUAGAGAGCCGGAGAUGAGACCAAGACUUGGUGAAAAACUUUCCAGUGAAAAGAGGCCGCAAAACUAAAUGUGUUCUUAAUUCAGAUUUAUCUAAUAGUUAAAGAAAGAUAGUUGCAAUGUUACAUAAACUUUUCUAGAUUAUGGAAAAAUGAAAAACAUGUUAAUUCACUUAAUAGUGUCCAUCUUAUUUUAAUACUCGAAUAUUAAAAUAAAGCAUAAUUGGAAAUUUAAAAACCAUAACUCAAUAUAACUUAAGAGUACUGAUACAAAAAAUAGAAUAAACAACAAAUAGAAUCUAGUGGAGUUUUAAAAGAAUACUGUACUAUGACCUAAUAAGAUUUACUUUAGAAAUGCAAGAAAGGAUGGAUAUGCAUGUCUGUAUCAAUAUAACUCGCUCUUGUUAACCAGGCUGGAGUGCAAUGGUGCGAUCUCGGCUCACCGCAACUUCCGCCUCCUGUGUUCAGGCAAUUCUCCUGCCUCAGCCUCCUGAGUAGCUGGGACUACAGACUCUUGAUGCACUUGAAUCAUCUUGCACACUUAUGGCUGAAUGAAACUUUGUGAAGUUUGAAGACAAGUAAUUGACGUCAGAGGUACAUCAUUUUCAGGGAUCAAAAUCUACAGCAUGACACUGCGACACAGAAAAGGAAGAGGACAAGCGUUUUAUAAAUAAAGAUUGAUUCCGAAAAUUAAGUAG